rnacentral:rRNA from 1 species
UACAGAGGGGGCAAGCGUUGUUCGGAAUUACUGGGCGUAAAGGGCGCGUAGGCGGCCUUCUAAGUCGAACGUGAAAUCCCUGGGCUCAACCCAGGAACUGCGUCCGAUACUGGAAGGCUUGAAUCCGGGAGAGGGAUGCGGAAUUCCAGGUGUAGCGGUGAAAUGCGUAGAUAUCUGGAGGAACACCGGUGGCGAAGGCGGCAUCCUGGACCGGUAUUGACGCUGAGGCGCGAAAGCCAGGGGAGCAA